AGUGAACGCUGGCGGUAGGCCUAACACAUGCAAGUCGAACGGCAGCACAGUAAGAGCUUGCUCUUACGGGUGGCGAGUGGCGGACGGGUGAGGAAUACAUCGGAAUCUACUUUUUCGUGGGGGAUAACGUAGGGAAACUUACGCUAAUACCUCAUACGACCUACGGCUGAAAGCAGGGGAUCUUCGGACCUUGCGCGAUUGAAUGAGCCGAUGUCGGAUUAGCUAGUUGGCGGGGUAAAGGCCCACCAAGGCGACGAUCCGUAGCUGGUCUGAGAGGAUGAUCUGCCACACUGGAACUGAGACACGGUCCAGACUCCUACGGGAGGCAGCAGUGGGGAAUUUUGGACAAUGGGCGCAAGCCUGAUCCAGCCAUACCGCGUGGGUGAAGAAGGCCUUCGGGUUGUAAAGCCCUUUUGUUGGGAAAGAAAAGCAGCAGGUUAAUACCCCGCCGUUCUGACGGUACCCAAAGAAUAAGCACCGGCUAACUUCGUG
rnacentral:rRNA from 1 species